CUUUUUCAUUUCUGGUCUAACACUUCUCUUCACUUCCUCAAACUCUCUCGACAGUACCUCCAUACCACCAUUUCCACCAUCAUUUUAUUGUAAGGUCACCGGAAAAUUCUUGAGAACCCAUAAGCACCUUCACAUCCUUUUUUUGAGGUUUACUUGAUAUUGUUUAGGUUCUAGCUAAUCUCCUUGGAGCUUGGAGAAUUAGGAUUUUGCGGUUGCAAGGUCAGUGCCCUUUCACUUUGGAUGACGCGUUCUUCCCUGUUGCCCAUGGGGAGAAGAGGUUUCUUGAUUAUGUGUGGGUGAGGUUGCUGCCCAUGGUGCCAAGAGACCACAUGCAAGAGAGGUCCUAUUUGACGUGCUCUCUUGCUGCCCAUGGGGGGAGAGAAAAACCUUAAGGGUAUGGGUAAGGCUGCUGUCCAUGGGGCCAAGAGUCUGCAUACUAAAAAGGACAAUAUUAUGCCAGUUGUGAAUGGGUGGAUCCCUUGACCAACUUAUGUGGUAUGUGGUAUAUUUGUAAUAAUUUAUCUUAUGUUAGAUAUUAUGGCUUCAACAAUUAUAUUGUUGGUGUUCAUAGAUUAUAGUAUAUAGUUUCAAGGUAUCUACUUUGAGAAACUUUGUGUUUCAAUAUUCAAUCAUUCUUGUCAUAUCAUAUUAUUAUUAUUGAAAAUGAAACUUGCAUUUCCCCCA